UGAGAAGCCUCAGUCUGCAGCAGCGGAGGCUCAGGCGCUCCUGGUGGUUCCUAGUCAAGAUGAAAGUCGUAACUGCAUAGAAGACUUAAUCUUCAGAUGAAAGAAGAGACUUAAAGUGGAACUGAAAAACUGAAGAAAUUCCACUGCRACUUGAGCAGUCAUGUUGUCAUAGCAGUAAUGUCACGCAUUGAGCAACCACAAAAGCUGUCUGUGUGAAAACCACUUGGGUGACAAGUCAAAAUACCAAAAAUAUCAUCAAGAAAAAGGAAAAGCUUUGAAGGAAAAAAAAAGAAGCAUUAACAUGAAUAUUACUAGACKACGUCUGUUUUGUAUGCCAAAAUAAAAUCAUUAUUAAUAGACAAUGGGAGUAGACAGAACCAAAUGUUACAUAAUAGUCUUUCUUCAAUUGAUCAAAAGGAAAGAAAAAAUACACAAGGAGCAUCUUGAAAACAAGUUUAAAGAAAUUCUGUAACACAACAUUGUAAGUAAAUAAAACU